rnacentral:rRNA from 1 species
UUUUAUUUGAGAGUUUGAUCCUGGCUCAGGAUGAACGCUGGCGGCGUGCCUAACCCAUGCAAGUUGAGCGAUUUACUUCGGUAAAGAGCGGCGGACGGGUGAGUAACGCGUGGGUAACCUACCC